AUUGAACGCUGGCGGCAAGCCUAACACAUGCAAGUCGAGCGGAUGAAGGGAGCUUGCUCCUGGAUUCAGCGGCGGACGGGUGAGUAAUGCCUAGGAAUCUGCCUGGUAGUGGGGGAUAACGUCCGGAAACGGGCGCUAAUACCGCAUACGUCCUGAGGGAGAUAGUGGGGGAUCUUCGGACCUCACGCUAUCAGAUGAGCCUAGGUCGGAUUAGCUAGUUGGUGGGGUAAAGGCCUACCAAGGCGACGAUCCGUAACUGGUCUGAGAGGAUGAUCAGUCACACAGGAACUGAGACACGGUCCAGACUCCGACGGGAGGCAGAAGUGGGGAAUAGUGGACAAUGGGCGAAAGCCUGAUCCAGCCAUGCCGCGUGUGUGAAGAAGGUCUUCGGAUUGUAAAGCACUUUAAGUUGGGAGGAAGGGCAGUAAGUUAAUACCUUGCUGUUUUGACGUUACCAACAGAAUAAGCACCGGCUAACUUCGU
rnacentral:rRNA from 1 species